UGAAGAAGGCCUUAUGGUUGUAAAGCACUUUAAGCGAGGAGGAGGGUACUGGUAUUAAUACUACCAGCUACUGGACGUUACUCGCAAAAUAAGCACCGGCUAACUCUGUGCCAGCAGCCGCGGUAAUACAGAGGGUGCGAGCGUUAAUCGGAUUUACUGGGCGUAAAGCGUGCGUAGGCGGCUAAUUGAGUCGGAUGUGAAAUCCCCGAGCUUAACUUGGGAAUUGCAUUCGAUACUGGUUAGCUAGAGUGUGGGAGAGGAUGGUAGAAUUCCAGGUGUAGCGGUGAAAUGCGUAGAGAUCUGGAGGAAUACCGAUGGCGAAGGCAGCCAUCUGGCCUAACACUGACGCUGAGGUACGAAAGCAUGGGGAGCAAACAGGAUUAGAUACCCUGGUAGUCCAUGCCGUAAACGAUGUCUACUAGCCGUUGGUCUCUUUGAGGGAUUAGUGGCGCAGCUAACGCGAUAAGUAGACCGCCUGGGGAGUACGGUCGCAAGACUAAAACUCAAAUGAAUU
rnacentral:rRNA from 1 species